AUGGUGGUACCUCCUAUCACUUUGAUCUUCAAUGGCAAUGCCACCACCGCUUCUCUAUUCCCCUUAUCACACAAGAAAAAAAUGGUUGCCAAGGAGAGGAACAACAACAAAUACCCCAAGUCUUUUAGUUGUCCACUAUAUACAGCUCGUGGUUUACAUUCCAGCCUCAGGCUUUUCUGGAAAUAUCGAACAGAAGGUUGUUUUUUUCUGGGCUACAAGUACUGCUGGACGAAGAAUCUGAAAAGGAGUUCUCGCGAAUGCCCCGCUCCUAGGGUUCCCUCGCCGCCGCCGGAGCCCGUUGCCGCCGCUAGCCGGAGGCCGCUCCCCUACCCCUCCCCCUCCCCUCCCUUCCCCGUACCCCCGCAUCGCCUCCCCGAGCGAGGCGACCGGGGGCCUCUUCCCUGCUCCUAUCUAGCUCUCCUACCUCGCCCCUGCCUCGUCCCGCCGCCGCCAGCGAGCGCCGCCGGGCCUUGGCCGCGUGGUGCUGGCGGUGGCGGGCCUGCCUUUCCCUGCACGUGGCUCCCUCCUGCUCAAAGGGUGGCGGCUGGCGGCGGUGCUCCUCGGCCAUCAUCGGUGCGGCCCGUCGGUGGUGGUGUCGCGGGCCCGGUGGCUCUCGAUGCCGCGCCAAAUCUGGGCCCAUUUGGGCCCAUCUGGGUUGGGGCGGGCCGAUGGCUUGGCGUUCGGCGGCGACGUUCCUUGGUGGUGGCGUGGUGGCGAUGGUCUCAGGCGGUGAGGACUUUGUUGGUCGGCGAGCUUCAGCGUGGUGACAGGACUGUCCGGGUCCACGUGGGCCCAACCGGGCAGUCGAGGCCCGGCAGGUCCUCGUCGCCGCAUCCGGUUGGCUCCGCUGUGGCAAUGGAGGUUGUCCCCUCCCUCCGGUCGAGUUGUGGUUGCUCCCGUGGCUGCUGCCUUCUCUUCCCUCCAUAUCUCAUGUUGACAGCUCCAGUGAGGUGGUGGGGGCUAUCCGGUAUUCAUGGUGGCACAAGCUGGUGGGUGGCUGAGGGGGUGGGAAACCCUAGAACUUGUUCGGGCAACAGUGGCAGCAUCGUCGCAUUCCUUCUUGAAGGUGUUGAUUGGGGCGCGGCGCUUCGGGAUGCUGGGAGGGUGGUGCUUUGGAGUAGCCUGCGCAAAGUAGGAGGACAGCGAGUAGGAGGCUUGGCCUUAAAUGGCUCCAGCUGUUUGCGCGAGCGAGAAAGGAUAUGGACGAACAGAGAAAGCUGGGAGGAGGAGGAGAGAGAGGUCGAUGAGCAGCAGAGGAGCGCAGUCAAACCGGCAGUUUCACUUCGGUGCGAAAAACAGCAUAUGGAGCGACGGCGAGCCGGAGGUCACACAGCCGAGCAGCAAGAUCGCUCUUCCGUCCUGCUCCUCCAGUCCUCUCCUCCAGUGCUCUCCUCCGGCCAGCGUGAGCUUGAGAGAGGUUGGUACCUGCAGGUAGCCAUGGACGGCCACCGCCGCGCGCCGCGCCAGAUUCUGGUGCUCGAGGAGGCGUUCAAGAAAUGUCCCCACCCCGACCAGACUCAGGUCGCAAAUCUCAGCCGCGAAACCGGCAUGGAGGUCCAUCAGAUCCAAUACUGGUUCCAGACUCGGCGGGCGCAGAUCAAGCCAAGGCCCCCUUCGGGUUUGUAUCGUGUGCAUCUGUGGCUCUUGAGCCUUGGACCCGAGAUAGGGAGCACCAACUUGGUAGGCUGGUGUCUGAUGGCUCCUAUGUCACACUUGCUUGCUGCGGAUAUCAGAGAGCACUUGCAUAACAAGAGGUAUUUCAUUGUAAUCGACACGAUAUGGAAACAGAUCACUGGAGUAUCAUGGAAUUUGAAUUUUGGUGCAAGUAGCAGAGUAAUGGUGACUACCACUAUGCAGUCAGUAUUUAACGCUUGCAACUCUAGCAAGGGCUAUGUGCAAAAAGUAAGAAGACCAGGUAACUAA
rnacentral:rRNA from 1 species